GGAUGUAGCUCAUUUGGUAGAGUGCUUGCCUUGCAUGCACAAGGCCCUGGGUUCAAUCCCCAGCACCA
rnacentral:tRNA from 1 species